CAGUAGCCGCGGGAAAACGAAGGGGGCUAGCGUUGUUCGGAUUUACUGGGCGUAAAGGGUGCGUAGGCGGAUUGUUAAGUCAGGGGUGAAAUCCCGAGGCUCAACCUCGGAACUGCCUUUGAUACUGGCGAUCUUGAGUCCGGGAGAGGUGAGUGGAACUGCGAGUGUAGAGGUGAAAUUCGUAGAUAUUCGCAAGAACACCGGUGGCGAAGGCGGCUCACUGGCCCGGUACUGACGCUGAGGCACGAAAGCGUGGGGAGCAAACAGGAUUAGAGACCCGGGUAGUCCCUGUCUCUUAUAU
rnacentral:rRNA from 1 species